rnacentral:rRNA from 1 species
AUUGAACGCUGGCGGCAGGCCUAACACAUGCAAGUCGAACGGUAGCACAGAGAGCUUGCUCCCGGGUGACGAGUGGCGGACGGGUGAGUAACGUCUGGGAAACUGCCCGAUGGAGGGGGAUAACUACUGGAAACGGUAGCUAAUACCGCAUAACGUCGCAAGACCAAAGUGGGGGACCUUCGGGCCUCACACCAUCGGAUGUGCCCAGAUGGGAUUAGCUGGUAGGUGGGGUAAUGGCUCGCCUAGGCGACGAUCCCUAGCUGGUCUGAGAGGAUGACCAGCCACACUGGAACUGAGACACGGUCCAGACUCCUACGGGAGGCAGCAGUGGGGAAUAUUGCACAAUGGGCGCAAGCCUGAUGCAGCCAUGCCGCGUGUAUGAAGAAGGCCUUCGGGUUGUAAAGUACUUUCAGCGGGGAGGAAGGCGGUGGAGUUAAUAACUUCACCGAUUGACGUUACCCGCAGAAGAAGCACCGGCUAACUCCGUGCCAGCCGCCGCAGUAAUAC